rnacentral:rRNA from 1 species
GAUGAACGCUGGCGGCGUGCCUAAUACAUGCAAGUCGAGCGAACGGACGAUAAGCUUGCUUCUCUGAUGUUAGCGGCGGACGGGUGAGUAACACGUGGAUAACCUACCUAUAAGACUGGGAUAACUUCGGGAAACCGGAGCUAAUACCGGAUGAUAUUUUGUACCGCAUGGUUCAAAAGUGAAAGACGGUCUUGCUGUCUCUUAUAGAUGGAUCCGCGCUGCAUUAGCUAGUUGGUAAGGUAACGGCUUACCAAGGCAACGAUGCAUAGCUGACCUGAGAGGGUGAUCGGCCACACUGGAACUGAGACACGGUCCAGACUCCUACGGGAGGCAGCAGUAGGGAAUCUUCCGCAAUGGGCGAAAGCCUGACGGAGCAACGCCGCGUGAGUGAUGAAGGUCUUCGGAUCGUAAAACUCUGUUAUUAGGGAAGAACAUAUGUGUAAGUAACUGUGCACAUCUUGACGGUACCUAAUCAGAAAGCCACGGCUAACUACGUG